rnacentral:rRNA from 1 species
GUGAGGAAUAUUGGUCAAUGGGCGAGAGCCUGAACCAGCCAAGUCGCGUGAAGGAAGACGGUUCUAUGAAUUGUAAACUUCUUUUGUGCAGGAAUAAAGUGGGUUACGUGUAACCUUUUGUAUGUACUGUACGAAUAAGGAUCGGCUAACUCCGUGCCAGCAGCCGCGGUAAUACGGAGGAUCCGAGCGUUAUCCGGAUUUAUUGGGUUUAAAGGGUGCGUAGGUGGAUUGAUAAGUCAGCGGUGAAAGUUUGCAGCUUAACUGUAAAAUUGCCGUUGAAACUGUCGGUCUUGAGUGCAAAUGAGGUAGGCGGAAUGUGUUGUGUAGCGGUGAAAUGCUUAGAUAUAACACAGAACUCCGAUUGCGAAGGCAGCUUACUGGGAUGCAACUGACACUGAUGCACGAAAGCGUGGGUAUCAAACAGGAUUAGAUACCCGAGUAGUCC